rnacentral:lncRNA from 1 species
AAGUCAACAACAGGUCGGGUUUCAGAAAGGAACAAAGUCUCAGGGCAGGGCGGUCACCCAUUCAAAUUCAGGAGCAUCUGCUUAAACGCGAGACGGAACAAACCCUGCUGCCAUACCGGAGGUGUGGGCAGGCGAAUGUGAGCGUGUGCACAGGGACAGACUAUACAUGGGCGAAACGUUAGUGGUAACGAAGGGAGACCCACCACGGUCGACAAAGCCACAACUAUUACCACUUGAAAUAUCACCCGCAGGGCACUGGCUUCGGUGCCAAAAUUUCCCCGGAUUUAUUUUCAGGCAAGUGACUCACAAUCUCGUCUCCAUAAGUAAUUCCAUUAAAAUGAGUCGCCGGUUCCACUAA